rnacentral:lncRNA from 1 species
AAAAGCUUUCCCUACCCCCUGCAUCUGUCCUCUCCAUCCCAGUCUCCAUGAUGCUCUGCUGGACCUUGACCUGCUGGGUGACUGGCUUACAAUGCAGCUGGGCUACCUUCACACUGGACCAGAUCAAGUGGUGGAGGCAGAGAGCAGGGGUUAUGGAGGACAGUCGGUGUGGACAGAAGCAUUUUGGCUCAGCUAAGUGACCCUGUGGUCUGUGAGAAAUCGAAACCUUCCUGGAAAAGAGGACUCAUUCCUUCCUCCUGGGCUGACUGGAGGCCUGUAGGAUGUCACCCUGAGGCAGGACGUCUUUUCUCAGACAAACAGGUACUUUGGGGUCACCGGGAUGUAAAAGCAAAGUCCUUUGGUCACAGGACUGGCUUUAGGCCAGUCUCACUUUCAAGGCUGCAUCUAGGCAGUCUUGCUUGUAGACCCAUGGAGACCUCAAGCCCGGUUGCCAGC